UACGUAGGGUGCAAGCGUUGUCCGGAAUUAUUGGGCGUAAAGAGCUCGUAGGCGGUUUGUCGCGUCUGCUGUGAAAACCUAAGGCUCAACCUUGGGCUUGCAGUGGGUACGGGCAGACUAGAGUGCGGUAGGGGUGACUGGAAUUCCUGGUGUAGCGGUGGAAUGCGCAGAUAUCAGGAGGAACACCGAUGGCGAAGGCAGGUCACUGGGCCGCAACUGACGCUGAGGCGCGAAAGCCAGGGGAGCAAACGGG
rnacentral:rRNA from 1 species